UUCGGUGUAGAAUUAGGCUUGAAUUAGCGAAGUUUGAAUUUUGGCGGAUUCGGGUUGAUAGGUAAGAUUUUGAUCCAAGGGUCGGAAUGGAAUUACGAGAGUUGCAGUAGCUUUGUUAGGUGAUUUUGGAUAUGUGUGCAAAUUUUCAGAUCAUUCGGAGGUGUUUAGGUCGGGUUUUGGAUCGAAUGAAUGUUUUGAAAGUUUUAGUUUAACUUAGGCUUGAAUUCGUG
rnacentral:lncRNA from 1 species